rnacentral:rRNA from 1 species
UGGGGAAUCUUGCGCAAUGGGCGAAAGCCUGACGCAGCAACGCCGCGUGAGCGAAGAAGGCCUUCGGGUUGUAAAGCUCUGUCAGGAGGGACGAAGCCACUCGGGUGAACAGCCCAGAGGGUGACGGUACCUCCAGAGGAAGCCCCGGCUAACUACGUGCCAGCAGCCGCGGUAAUACGUAGGGGGCGAGCGUUGUCCGGAAUCAUUGGGCGUAAAGCGCGUGUAGGCGGCUUGGCAAGUCUGGUGUGAAAGCUCGAGGCUCAACCUCGAGUCUGCACCGGAAACGGCCGUGCUAGAGUACGGAAGAGGAGAGUGGAAUUCCUGGUGUAGCGGUGAAAUGCGCAGAUAUCAGGAAGAACACCGGUGGCGAAGGCGGGUCUCUGGGACGGUACUGACGCUGAGACACGAAAGCGUGGGGAGCAAACA